AGGGAUACUGCUGGACAAGAAAGAUU
rnacentral:sRNA from 1 species